rnacentral:rRNA from 1 species
UGCUCCUACGGGACGCAGCAGUGGGGAAUAUUGCACAAUGGGCGAAAGCCUGAUGCAGCAACGCCGCGUGAAGGAAGACGGUUUUCGGAUUGUAAACUUCUAUCAAUAGGGAAGAAAGAAAUGACGGUACCUAAAUAAGAAGCCCCGGCUAACUACGUGCCAGCAGCCGCGGUAAUACGUAGGGGGCAAGCGUUAUCCGGAAUUACUGGGUGUAAAGGGAGAGUAGGCGGCAAGGUAAGCGAUAUGUGAAAGCCUUAGGAUUAACAAAAGGAUUGCAUAACGAACUAUAUAGAUAGAGUACAGGA